CUAACAUGCUGAGGUCUGCUGAUCAGAAACUCCAUAAUCCAGUUGCAGAGGGAGGUGUUAAUGUCCAGGUCUCCAAGUUUUGUGGUCAGCUUGGUGGGAAAGACAGUGUUAAAUGCUGAGCUGAAGUCAACAAACAACAUCCGUACAUAUGUGUUGUUAUUGUCCAAGUGUGUGAGUACAGAGUGCAGCACUGUGCAUACUGCAUCCUCUGUGCUCCUAUUUCUACAGUAAGCAAAGUGGUGUGGGUCCAGUGUGGGUGGGAGGCAGUCUUUGAGGUGUGCUUCGGGUAGGUGGUCUGCUGAGAGUGUGAUCUUGGUGGCUGUCACCUUGCUGUCGAUGUUGAAGCGAGCAUAAAAGUAAUUUAGCUCGUUAAGGAAGGAGACGUCUGUGACCGUUGGAGUAAAGUUGCUUGACUUGUAGUCACUGAUGACCUGGAUGUCCUGCCAUAUGCGCCGGGGGCCAGAGUUGGAAAAGUGUUCCUCUACCUUCAGCUUCUAGCAGUACUUGGCCUUUUUGAUGCCCCUCCUCAGGUUAGCCCUGGAUUUGCUGUAGGCCUGAGUGUCAUCUGACCUGAAGGCAGUAUUGCGGGCUUUCGGCAGAAGUCGCACCUCCUUGUUCAUCCAUGGCUUCUGAUUAGAGUAUGUUAUGAUCUGUUUUUCUGUUGUAACACUGUCAAUGGUGGUGUUGAUGUAAUCCAGUACAGAGGAGGUAUAGAUAUCAAUGUCCGUGUGAGAGCCACAGGCAGCCUGAGAAGCAAACAUGCUCCAGUCCGUGCAUUGAAACCUGUCCUGAAGAGUCUGCUCCAGUUGGCCACACCCUGAUGGUCCUCACUGAUGGCUUCAAAUGGUUGAUGAGGGGUGAAUACUUAGGGGUGAGAAACAAAGAAAGGUGAUCAGACUGUCCGAGGUGGGGGAGGGGGGUCGCGGUGUAAGCUCCAUCAAUGUUUGUUUAAACAUGAUCCAAAGUUUUGUCUCCUCUAGUGUGGCAGGAAGCAUGUUGAUGGAAUUUGGGGAGCACUGUCUUUAAUUUGGAGUGAUUAAAAUCACCUGCGACAAUAAAAGCAGCCUCCGGGUGAGCAGUCUGUUGUUUACUAAUGGCCGCAUGAAGUUCGUUCAAAACAAGCUUGGCAUUAACAUCCGGUGGAAUAUAGACUGCUGUUAUAAUGGUGGAAGUGAACUCCCGCAGCAGAUAAAAGGGUCUACACUUAACCAUGAGAAACUCUAGGUUAGCGGAGCAGUGUCUCCCAACAAUGACAGUGUUCGUACACCAAGCUUUGUUAACAUAAAUGCACAAUCCACCACCUCUUGUCUUGCUGGGGUCAUCUGCCGUUCUAUCUGCCCGGACCAUGUAGCGUCCAGCUAGCUCAAUAGCAUUAUUGGGUAUGUCGCCGUGUAGCCAUGUUUCUGUGAAAACCAUGACAUUGCAUUCCAAAAGUCUCUUACUGUGGGUGAUGCGAAGUCGUUUCUCAUCCAUUUUGUUCACCAGAGACCACACAUUAGCGAGGAAAAUGCUGGGUAAAGAAAGCAGGAGUGGUGUUAGCUUUAGCUUAGCUCUUAGACCUCUGCACUCCCCCCACCUUUGUUUACGAUCUUGACGCCACCUGCAAGCACUUCCGCCCGGCUGGGUAGAGUGCUUAACCUCGGGUGUUCUGGAGAUCUCAGGGAUGAGUCGAAGAUUGGUGAUUAAACUGUUGGAAAAGUGCUCACCAAUAUCCAAAAGCUCCUGUUGGGUGUAGGCAAAGCUGUUCAGUAUGAACAGACCUGAGAUGAGCAGGAAAAAUACUGCAAAAUUGCAAAAACUGGAGAGACGCCGAGCCUUGUGAUGUGUACGCGCCGCCAUUUUGGUCUACAAGAGGUAAGGGAGAAGAAGAGGUAAGGUAGAAGAAUAGGUUAGAGGGAAGAAGAGGUAAGGGAGAAUAAGAGGCUAGGGAGAAGAAGAUGUAAGGGAGAAGAAGACGUAAGGGAGAAGAAGAGGUAAGGGAGAAGAAGAGGUUAGGGAGAAGAAGAGGUUAGGGAGAAGAAGAGGUUAGGGAGAAGAAGAGGUUAGGGAGAAGAAGGGGUUAGGGAGAAGAAGAUGUAAGGGAGGGAUAAGAAUGUGUGCUGGACGGUGCAUUUUUAUGUUUGUUUGUUUUUUCCUCUUACACAUGUGGAACCUGUGAAAGCUUAUUUCUGCCAUGGAAUAUAAAGGCUAAAGGGUAAUUGUGACUUUUUUUCAUCUCACAGUUCUGACUACUAUUUUUUUUGCCAUUGUAAAUUUAUCUCACAAUUCUGAUAAAAGUCUGAAUUGCAAGAUGUAAACUCGCAAUUCCAAGAAUAGAAGUCCAAAUUGUGAGAUAAAAAGUUCACAAUUACGUUUUUUUAUCCUGUGACGGAAACAAGCUUGCAUAGUAACCAAGGGCCAUGUAUGUUGUAAUUUUUGUUGAUCUCUGGCAUCAGCUACCAUCCACAUCCAACCACCCCCACACCCACCCACCCACUGGAGAACAACUUCAAUCAAGGUUCCAACUGAAUUUCUGCAUAGAGGACCCUAUUUUUUCUAUUGUACAUUCUAUAAAGUAAUGACUUAUUCAGUUUUAGACAGUAUGUUGCCAAGAAUGAACACAUUUAACACAACCCAUUUUGCUGAACUAUAAACACUAUUCCCCUGCUUUAACACAUGAGUCAGAUUUGGUGAACUCUUACUGCAAAACUCUACACACAAAUCCCCACAUUUCUCAGUGCUUACACCAUGUGGUCAUUUAGAAAGCACUAGCAUUCAAUAUUGUUCACUCAAGUCAGCAUAACUUGAGCUCAGUUAGCACACAGAUACCCACGUGGAAACACUAAGAGUCAAAAUGUAUCACACACCAGUCAGAACCUUCAAUAGAUAGAUAAAAGAGCCCCAUUCACUUCAUUCAGUUUUGGAACAAUGGAUCCAGAGAGACGUGAUUGAAAAGGUCGAGGACACCAGAGAGGAGGAAGAGGAUGAGCAAGAGCAGUAAGGAGUGGAGGAAGAGGUGAAGGAAGAGAAAGAGGAGGAGGACAAGGAUGAGGAUGAGGGGCAAGGAGACAAGGAGUCUUAGAUGAAAUUUGUGCCACUAGUUGACCAUGUCCUUGUCCAUGGUAUGACUAUGAGCGAGCCUGGGCAAUGAGUUCAGCCAAACUUAAGUUGCUUCACCGUCGCCUCGAUCAUAAGAACAUUCAGGGAGGUGUACCUCAGUGUACUCUACUGUAACUUUUGACAGCUGUACUCUGUUACAACACAUGCAUCAAAUUGCCUUACAUACAGAUAGAGUUUCUGUCUGCUUCCAUUUUGUAAAAAGUACUUUUGCAAAAUGAGUACUUCUAUUUUUGUAGGACACAGAGACGAUGGAAUGGAAGAAGCCUGAAUAGACAUUACAGUUGAUGUGUGACAGGGUGGAUCAGUCAUGCGAGAGGAUUUUACCCCCGCUGCCUGGCUCGGGCCAGUAUAGCCUGUGAUGUCUGUCCCAG
ensembl:lncRNA